AGUACUAGGCAAAUAUAUACAAAGUAAUGUCAUUAGCCCAACAACAAUGAAAUCAACUAUAAAACCCUGUGGGAAUGGUGGCGCAAAUUGCCACAAGGCUAUCAAAUUUCUGGACACUUCCUGACAUUUUAGUUUUAAUUUCCAUUAUCAAGUGUGGCAGCCACAAGAUCAAAAAAUUUAUGAUUAUAAACGUGUAAAUUAUAAAUUCAAACGAUGAAAAUGUGAAAAAAGAAGUAAAAUGUAAAAGCCUUUAAAAUCCAAAGCAAAGCAUUUGCAUAGUGGCAUUUGCAUACAACUCUGGAAUUAGAAAAUUUGAUCAGCUGGGCUAAUGACUUUACCUUGUAUAAAUUUACCUAGGGUAAGCAGUAAUCUGCUUAUAAGCGCAGUAUGCAACUCUGGCGAAAUUUUCGUUACCACAGGAUGGUCAUGCAUCAUGCAUCGCAUGAGGUCAUGCGAACAGCUGAGUGCAAUUUUUUUUAUUUUUGUUUUGAUUUUGCAGUAAAGCUAAAUGUCAAAGGCUUCAUAACACACUAAAUGUCUAAAUCUAAAUGGCUUCAUAACACACAGCUGUGAUUGUUUUUUCUAAAAUCUUAAAAAGAUGUUCUAUUUGAUCCGAUAUUCCACACAUAAGCAACAAAACAGUCUUAUAAUGUUGAAAAUACAAAACUAAAACCCAUUUGACUUUUCAAUUUUCGGCAUUUGCCACACAAAGUAGUUCCAUAGGGGAUAGAUUUUUAUUGUUGUUCUAAUGACGCUACCUCUUAAUUCUACCAUGUCGUUACCAUAAGAAAUGCAUCGACAUAUCCGAAACGAAAUUUUCGUUACCGGCACCGUUACUAAAAAUUUCGCUUGUAGGUACGCAGUUCAAAUAAAAUUUUCUUUGUGCAGCAGGAUGACAUAAAGGCAUUGAAACAUUUUUUUCUUGAUUACUUUAUUAACCAAAAAUGAUUAAAAUUCGACCAAAAUUAUAAAUUGAUGUUUCUGUGGCGACACAAAUGUCUUGGCUGCGACAGAAAAUUUCACUAGAGGUGCAUACACAGCUAUGAGAAAAUAAUUAAAUAUUUUCGCGGCAGUUCCGAAAGCAGAAUAGAAUACCAUGAUAAUGAUAAGAACGAAUCUGCAAUGUAGCGGGUGUGGAAUGACAAAUUUCAGAAGAAUCCGCCAUAAAAAUGGGUGAAUGAUGUCUGUAAAUUUGUAAAUAAUAAAAGUUAAAAGCUUACAAAAACAGAAAAACUACAUUCCAAAAAUUGUUUGACGGAGGGAGAUACAUGGUCAUAAAUCCUAUGAGAGUAAAGGUAACGUACUACUCUAUUAAUCCCCAACCUAACUCUGACCAUAUUUGAAGCGGAUAUACCGUAAUAAAGCUCAAGGCAGUACAAUAUAUGCGGCAUUACUAAUGAAUGGACUAACUUUAUCCUUAUGUACCUCGGCAAUACCAUAGCAAUAUUAUACAUCUGGCGGCGUGUAUGGCUUGCGAUAAACUAUUAUAUUAAAAUGGGCUUCAGCACGAGAGGAGAACCCUAUUGCCUUAGUCUUUGCCGAAUUGACGCUCAAUCUGUUAGACUCCAUGCAGAUGUCUACAGAACGCAUUACGAAAUUAAUUUUUGUUUGCAUGACACCCAUCAUCGGCAUAUGAUGUGCACCAACCCUGUAUCCGAUCAAAAAAAAUAAUUCAGAAAAAUUAUGAAAUGUAAGGGCCCGAGUACAGAACCCUGAGGAAACCCACUCCUUACAGUAAACUUAUCGAAAGAUACCCCAUUCACUAGCACAAAUUAUCUCCUGGGGGUUACAUCCGGUGCAUAGAACCGGCUGACAUGGGAUUGUAGUUUGAUAUUCAUAGAAGAUUUGAUAAAAAUCAAUUUUCAUUAACAAUUUUUCUUUGGCUAACUUUUAAAAGUUCCUUGUUAUCGUAUUUUUUUAAUAAAAUUGCAUCAAUG